GUAGGGAAUAUUGGUCAAUGGACGAAAGUCUGAACCAGCCAUUCCGCGUGCAGGAAGAAGAUUCUAUGGAUUGUAAACUGCUUUUAGCAGAGAAGAAACGCCUUCAUUGAUGAGGGUUUGACGGUAUCUGCAGAAUAAGCACCGGCUAACUCCGUGCCAGCAGCCGCGGUAAUACGGGGGGUGCAAGCGUUAUCCGGAAUCACUGGGUUUAAAGGGUGCGUAGGCGGGAAAUUAAGUCAGUGGUGAAAGUCUGUUGCUUAACGAUAGAAUUGCCGUUGAUACUGAUUUUCUUGAAUUGGGUUGAGGUUAGCGGAAUGUGACAUGUAGCGGUGAAAUGCAUAGAUAUGUCAUGGAACACCAAUUGCGAAGGCAGCUAGCUGGGCCUUGAUUGACGCUGAGGCACGAAAGCGUGGGUAGCGAACAGGAUUAGAAACCCGUGUAGCCC
rnacentral:rRNA from 1 species